GUAGUACACAGCGUUGUACAGGAUCUUCAGUUUCUUGGUAAUUUCUCACAUGGAAUAGCCUUCAUUUCUCAGAACAAGAAUAGACUGAUGAGUUUCAGAAGAAAGGUCUUUGUUUCUGGCCAUUUUGAGCCUGUAAUUGAAUCCACAAAUGCUGAUGCUCCAGAUCCUCAAAUAGUCUAAAGAAGGCCAGUUUUAUUGCUUCUUUAAAUAGGAAACAGUUUACAGCUGUGCUAACAUAAUUGCAAAAGGGUUUUCUAAUGAUCAAUUAGCCUUUUAAAAUUAUAAACUUGGAUUAGCUAACACAACGUGCCAUUGGAACACAGGAGUGAUGGUUGCUGAUAAUGGGCCUCUGUACGCCUAUUUAGAUAUUCCAUUAAAAAUCAACCGUUUCCAGCCACAAUAGUAAUUUCCAACAUUAGCAAUGUCUACACUGUAUUUCUGAUCAAUUCAAUGUUAUUUUAAUGGAUGAAAAAUGUGCUUUUCUUUCAAAAAUAAGGACAUUUCUAAGUGACCCCUUACGUUUGAACGACCAAUGGCUGCAUCCCAAAUUGCACCCUAUUGUCACGGACGUCGUUGUGGAAAUGACCGGACCAAGGUGCAGAGUGGUGAGAGUACAUUUUCCUUUAUUUAUGUAAAUGUCGCCAACAAAACAAGAAACAAAGAAACAACCGUAAAGCUUACUAGGGCUAUAGUGCCACUAACAAAGUCAAUUACCCACAAAAUACAAAGGAUAAAAGGCUGCCUAAGUAUGAUUCCCAAUCAGCGACAACUAUAGACAGCUGUCCCUGAUUGAGAACCAUACCUGGCCAAAAUAUAGAAACAGAAAACAUAGAAAUAAAGAAACUAGAAUGCCCACCCUAGUCACACCCUGGCCUACCCAAAAUAGAGAAUAAAAGCCUCUCUAUGGCCAGGGCGUGACACCUAUUCCCUUUAUAGUUUACUACUUUUGACCAUGUUACCAUUACUGUAUUAUACCAAUGACAUUCUGCUGAGCCUGAUUUCCCUUAGAAAGUUGGUCAACAUCUGUGCCAGUUUCAGUACCAUCUGUUCAUCUCUGUCACUUUUUUGUUCUGAUCCUCAAGUUCAAAAUGAAAGUAAUUAACUGCUGCUGUAUUUUGUUGCGCAUUCCUUGGACCCUUGUACAUUUUAGAUCUGUUUAUUCAUAGGAACUAAUUCAUGAUGUGUAUUGCCAAAUAUAAGAUUUCAAAUCAUUGUUUAUUCACUGCAGCUAACCUGUAAGUUUGAGGGAGGUGCGAGUGUAACAGGUUUAUUCUAGAGGCUAUUGUUAGGGCAUCUCUCAAUGGGGAUGUUAUAGUAAAGGUAUAAAAAUGGAAAAUCUAUAGAUUCCCCGGUAAAUGUCUGAAUUCUCUGUCUCACUGGUAAAUCUAAAAGAUUUCCUGAUUUACCACUGCGACUGACAAUCUAUAGAUUUACAGUUUUUACACGUUUACCGUAACAGAGUACCAAGCUAGUCAUUGUGGUACAACUCCUGGCUAUGAUGGGUGACACCAUUGUAAGUUAACUAUUGAAUGAUAUGUCUCCCAUGAAACAAUAGUCUGCUUAGAUUAGACUAAUGCAAAGCUGAACAGACUGAUACACGAUACAGGUAACCAAUAAACUUUAUUGGUGAAUAAAUAGGUUAUUUCUUUACUAUACAAGUGACAUUUACAUCUGUAAAAUUCAAUCUCUCAACACCAACCACAUCUUGACCCCAAAAAUGGCUACAAAUCUCUCAAACAAAUGGAAAAAAAACACAAAGUGAUUGACAGCAUUUCAAUUGUUAAAAUUGCAUUAGAUUAUGUCAUCCUCUCAAUAAAUUACUGUCAUAUAAAGUGCUUUAUAUUCUUUAUCAAAAAACUUGACAUAAUUUGAUCACAUUAAAGGGUGAGGACAUGAGGUGGUCACAAAAAUGACAGUCUGAAUAAACUUGCUUGUUUGGUCUCAUUCUAUGAACUUAUAUAUGGUGUGUCGUUACACUUUUGGUAACACUUUAUUUUGAUUGUCCCAAGUAGAUGUUCAAUAACUAUCAACAACAUUUCAACUAUCCAUUAACCCUAGCUCUAACCUUAUCCUAACCCAAAUCUUUACCUUAACCCUUACCCUAACGGUUAUUCCAAACCUAACCCUAACUGUAACCUUAGCAAGCAGUUGCUUAUCAACAUACAGUAUAGUUUGUUCAAUCUCCUCUGUUUUCUCAGUGGCAGCUGUAAGCUGUGGUCGUGUCAGUGGUGGUCUCGUCUCAAAACUAAGACUGUUCUGCCUUGUUGUUCUGCAUAGUUAUUAGAGGAAGGAAAGAUAGGAAGGCUCCCACACCACACACUCACUUCAGUAUCUUACCUAGUUAUUUUCAGAUGAUCUCAUUUUGCUCUUUUGUGGCUUUGGAAACUGUGUGUUUUCUAUACCUGUCCACUCCUCUCCCUGUAGGCUUCAAAGACUCUCCCCGCCAUUUGGUUGCAACCAUUCUAAUUUAGUGUACCUUGCACGUGCAAUCCAUGUGCAAUUCCUGGUCUCUGGCAGCUUUUGGAACUGCCGAUCUGCAGUCAAGAACGGCAAGUUUAUUUCAGCUUAUGGUACACUUCAGUCCGUUGACUUUUCGGCCCUGACGGAGACAUGGAUCACCCCAGAGAACACUGCUACUCCAGCUGCUCUCUCUUCAUCUGACUAUGUUUUCUCUCAAAGUCUGAGAGCAUCUGGUCGUCGCGGUGGUGGCACAGGGCUACUCGUUUCUCCUAAGUGGAAAUGUUCUAUUUUCUCCCUCACUCACCUGUUCUCAUUUGAAUUCCAUGCUGUCACUGUCACUUGUCCACUCAAGCUUAACAUUGUUGUCAUCUAUCCCCUGCAGGUGCCCUUGGAGAGUUCCUCAAUGAGCUUGACACCUUGAUAUGGUGUUUUCUUGGUGAUGACUCACCGCUCUUCAUACUUGACGACUUCAACCUCCCCGACAUCUGCCUUCGAUUUCUUUCUUUCCCCUCCUUGCCUCUUUUGACCUCAGCCUUUCCCAGUCCCCUCUCACUCACAAGGCAGGCAAUAUGCUUGACCUCAUUUUUCUACUAAUCUCAC
ensembl:lncRNA